GCCUGUUUGAGUGUCAUGAAAACUCAUCCCCUCUGGUUUUUCUAGUGGGAGAUGGAAUUGGGUGUUUGCCAUUGACCUGGCUCGCCUUAAAAGACUAAGUGGUGAGAAGGACGUAAUAAGUUUCGUUCCGACACUGCUGAUAACCAAAAACUAUUUUGUAAUCUGACCUCAAAUCAGGUAGGGCUACCCGCUGAACUUAA
rnacentral:misc_RNA from 1 species